GACGAACGCUGGCGGCGUGCUUAACACAUGCAAGUCGAACGGAAAGGCCCUGCUUGCAGGGUACUCGAGUGGCGAACGGGUGAGUAACACGUGGGUGAUCUGCCCUGCACUUCGGGAUAAGCCUGGGAAACUGGGUCUAAUACCGGAUAGGAGCCAUUUUUAGUGGGAUGGUUGGAAAGUUUUUUCGGUGUUGGAUGAGCCUGCGGCCUAUCAGCUUGUUGGUGGGGUAAUGGCCUACCAAGGCGGCGACGGGUAGCCGGCCUGGGGAGGUGGACGGCCACAUUGGGACUUAGGGACGGCCCAGACUCCUACGGGAGGCAGAAGGGGGGAAUAUUGCACGAGGGGCGCCAGCCUGAUGCAGCGACGCCGCGUGGGGGAGGACGGCCUUAGGGUUGUAAACUCCUUUCGCUAGGGACGAAGCUUUUUGUGACGGUACCUAGAUAAGAAGCACCGGCUAACUACGUG
rnacentral:rRNA from 1 species